CAGGUCAAAGAAUCACUUAUCCAACUUUUACUAGAGAAUCAGUAGUUGACAUGUAAAUAAGACUCCAUCUAAUAUUCUCUUGCAGGUUUAUUCAAGUGAACUCAUUCUCUAAUGAGCACCCAUAUCCUUAUAUUAGUGUCACCACACAAGUGGUUGUGAGAUCAACCACCCUCAUUUCUGAGCAUACAUAGGAUAUGUCAGUCUUACCAGUAUCAUUGAUCUCCGACUCAAUGU
rnacentral:lncRNA from 1 species